rnacentral:lncRNA from 10 species
CAGGCACAAACAGCACCCACAGAUACAAUACGCCCACCCCGCCAGAGCCACCACGAUCCGUUCUCAGAGGCACAUGUGCAUAAGAACAUCACAGAGAUAUUCAUUCUGUGCAGACACACAGGCACAUGCAUAGCGGGAGGUCACGUGUCCACUCAGCAGUCGCCCCCAUGCGCCUGCCAUCCUCCCUCCUCCCCUGAGCCCCCACACUCCCUGUCUAGGUCAAAUCUUGGUCAAGGAAUGGAAAAAGUCCCAAGCCGCCGCAGUUGUAGGAGUCAGGACAGAAGCCAGACAGUCCCGGGAACCAGCCGAGCUCCCUUCCCGCUGAGAAGCCCCACAUCUGUCCUCCAGGAGAUUAACGGAACUCAUUCCUCGGGUCCACCACACUGAACCAACCAGACAGAAGGCCAUGAGCAGGGGGACCCUGGGACGGGCCCAUGGCAGAGCCUCCGGCUUGUUGUCAGUGAUUACCUGGGGUCAGGGGUCUGCUGGGACUGCCUGGCCCCCAUGUUUUGGAGCAGGCAGUCCUGGGCUCCAGUCCCAGCCUCACUCCCUUCUUGUCUUAGGACGUUGGGCUGGCGGCUUCAACUCUGAGCCUCACAUUCCUUCAUUUAUAAACUGAGACUAAUAACGCCACCUAACUCUCAACAACAAAUACAGAGUUUAUCAUGGGGCGUCAUUUAGAACUCUGGCUUUAACCAAGAAACAAGUUGUGCGACUUGGGCUAGUAAUUGGACCUCUCCUAGC